CUUUUGGCCACUACGACUUUUUGGCGCUGUUCCGAGUUUUUUUUAAAGAUGCGCGGUCUUUGAAAAAACUUUUAGUUCAGGCAAACUUCUGACAGGAGAUUAGCUACAUUUAUUCACGCUAGUGUCCAUCCAUCAAAGUAAUAUUACAGUGCACAAGAAGAGAGUGGAUGGCCACUGAAUUGUUUCAGGCCCAGGGCUGACCGGGGCAGCACAGUGGAACUACCAACGGCUGGUGGACCUUAAGCAGCCAGGUGUCAUCCUCCCUGCUGUGUUUUAUCCAGCUGUAAUGGCUGAGUUGAAGUCUGCCUCCAAGAAUCCGUUGGCCAGCCGCUCUCUGCUGGUCCACUGCUAAAGCAGGAGAUGUCGCCAGACGACCACCAGGAACCUCCAGCAGCAAUUGCCUAACCAGAUGUGAAGAGUUUAGCAGUGCACAA